rnacentral:rRNA from 1 species
UACGUAGGGUCCAAGCGUUAUCCGGAAUCACUGGGCGUAAAGCGUCCGCAGCCGGCGCGUUAAGUGUGAUGUUAAAUCGUGGGGCUCAACCCCGUCGAUGCAUCACAUACUGGCGUGCUAGAGGAAAUCAGAGGCAAGUGGAAUUUGUAGUGUAGCAGUGAAAUGCGUAGAUAUUACAAGGAACACCAAUGGCGAAGGCAGCUUGCUGGGAUUUUUCUGACGGUCAGGGACGAAAGCGUGGGGAGCGAACAGG